rnacentral:rRNA from 1 species
AGUGAACGCUGGCGGUAGGCCUAACACAUGCAAGUCGAACGGCAGCACAGUAAGAGCUUGCUCUUACGGGUGGCGAGUGGCGGACGGGUGAGGAAUACAUCGGAAUCUACUUUUUCGUGGGGGAUAACGUAGGGAAACUUACGCUAAUACCGCAUACGACCUACGGGUGAAAGCAGGGGAUCUUCGGACCUUGCGCGAUUGAAUGAGCCGAUGUCGGAUUAGCUAGUUGGCGGGGUAAAGGCCCACCAAGGCGACGAUCCGUAGCUGGUCUGAGAGGAUGAGCAGCCACACUGGAACUGAGACACGGUCCAGACUCCUACGGGAGGCAGCAGUGGGGAAUAUUGGACAAAGGGCGCAAGCCUGAUCCAGCCAUACCGCGUGGGUGAAGAAGGCCUUCGGGCUGUAAAGCCCUUUUGUUGGGAAAGAAAAGCAGCAGGUUAAUACCCCGCUGUUCUGACGGUACCCAAAGAAUAAGCACCGGCUAACUUCGUG